rnacentral:rRNA from 1 species
CGUUGCGGUUCUAUUUUGUUGGUUUCUAGGACCGCCGUAAUGAUUAAUAGGGACAGUCGGGGGCGUCAGUAUUCAAUCGUCAGAGGUGAAAUUCUUGGAUCGAUUGAAGACUAACUACUGCGAAAGCAUUCGCCAAGGAUGUUUUCAUUAAUCAGGAACGAAAGUUAGGGGAUCGAAAACGAUCAGAUACCGUUGUAGUCUUAACCAUAAACUAUGCCGACUAGGGAUCGGGCGAUGUUAUUUCUUGACUCGCUCGGCACCUUACACGAAAGUAAAGUUUUUGGGUUCUGGGGGGAGUAUGGUCGCAAGGCUGAAACUUAAAGAAAUUGACGGAAGGGCACCACAAGGGGUGGAGCCUGCGGCUUAAUUUGACUCAACACGGGGAAACUC